rnacentral:rRNA from 1 species
UACGGGGGGGAGCAAGCGUUGUUCGGAUUCAUUGGGCGUAAAGGGUGCGUAGGCGGCGCGGUAAGUCGGGUGUGAAAUCUCGGAGCUUAACUCCGAAACUGCAUUCGAUACUGCCGUGCUUGAGGACUGGAGAGGAGACUGGAAUUCACGGUGUAGCAGUGAAAUGCGUAGAGAUCGUGAGGAAGACCAGUGGCGAAGGCGGGUCUCUGGACAGUUCCUGACACUGAGGCACGAAGGCCAGGGGGAGCAAACGGG